rnacentral:lncRNA from 1 species
GUUUGCAUUGGCCACGCCCAUUCCCUUUAGCCACGCCCCCAAUUUGGUCACGCCCCCCAAUUUGGCCACGCCCCCCGUUUGGCCACGCCCCCCGUUUGGUCACGCCCCCACCCCCUGCGGUUGAGCGACAUGAACCCAUGGGAAGUCAUGCCCGUUUGCAUUGGCCACGCCCAUUCCCGUUGGCCACGCCCCAGUUUGGCAACGCCCCUCACCCCCAGGGAUCAAGGCCCAUGUGAACUCAUGCCCAUUUGCAUUGGCCACGCCCACUCCCAAUAGGCCACGCCCCCGUAUUUCCACGCCCGUAUAGGCCACGCAUGCCAUCGUUGGCCACGCCCCCCCUUGGCCACGCCCCUCACAGGCCACGCCCCCACCCCCAAGGGUCCAGCCCCGUAGACUCGGGUCCAUUUGCAUUGGCCACGCCCCGUGUUGCCACGCCCAUAUAGACCACACCCACAUUUGGCCACGCCCCGCACUUGGCCACGCCCCCACCCCCUGCGGUUGAGCGACAUGAACCUGCAGGAAGUCGUGCUCAUUUGCAUUGGCCACGCCCCCCCUUUGGCCACGCCCCCCAUAAAGCCACGCCCCCACCUCCCACGGGUCCAGCCCCAUAGACUCAUGCCCAUUUGCAUUGGCCACGCCCACUCCCAAUCGGCCACACCCGCCGCCGUUGGCCACGCCCCCUUUGGCCACGCCCACUCCCAUUAGGCCAUGCCCACUCCAUGGGGGCUGGAGCACCACGGUCUGCAGGCCACGCCCACCUAUCACAGGCCACGCCCACUUCUCCCAGGCCACGCCCAUUCCCAUUAGGCCACGCCCACUUCUCCCAGGCCACGCCCAUUCCCAUUAG